UUGAAAGAUUUUUAAAAUACCAAUUCCCCCCCCCCCCCUCUUUGUUAGCCUUGAGAUUAGUUCAUAAAGGCUUAACAACCCUAACGAACUUUUAGACCUUGCGGAUUUCCAAAUAUUUUCUCUUAGAUGUCACAUGGCAGUUUUCAUUUCAUGGAUCUCCAAAAGCUUAUUUGAAUAUCAUGCUGAGAUUUUCAUUUUGCGGAUCUCUAUAGGAUCAUUUCGAUGUCACGCUGAGGUCUUAAUUUUUUUAGAUUUUCUAGAGUCUAUCUCGGUGUCUUCAUAAAUCUUUAGAUGUAAUAAUACAGUUGACAAUCUGGCUUUAGUCAAGUAGAGACUCAUAGGAUAGUGACAUAACACUUCAUACUCAGCUCUCUAAAGUGUUACUUUGUAGAUUAAUGAUAGUAUAUAGUAUUGUCACCUUGUGUUAUUCUUUUGUCACCACUGCCACCUUAAUUUCCAUUAUUUUUAUAUAUGCUCAAUAUUUAUCAUCAUUGCAACCAUAUAUAAAUGUAACAUCUAUGUUAUAUAAUUGCAGGUCUUAUUUUAGAGUCACCCCCAGCUUUGCAAGUUCACUAGCCAGCAGGUCUUUUGCUGCUUCAGGUUUUCUACAAUUUUCUUUGACUUAGGUUUCAGGAGUAUAACACUAGUUUGUGAGUUACUGCAGGAGACCUUGGUUUAGGUCCUAGAGGUGCAGAGUGUCUAAUCUUUGGAAGGAGCAUAGUGAAGCUCGACUUCCUUUUCAGGCAUAAAUUUAAGAUAUAGACUUUAGUCUUCUAUGAAUGACAUUGUACUUUUUUCUUUCCUUGUUAUAAACUUGUAAAGAGAUGUAAUUUAAAUUUACAUACAAAUUUUUUAAUCAAUAAAAUAAAGCGA